UACGGAGGUUGCAAGCGUUAAUCGGAAUUACUGGGCGUAAAGCGUGCGUAGGUGGUUGAUUAAGUUAUCUGUGAAAUCCCUGGGCUUAACCUGAGCAGGUCAGAUGAUACUGGUUGACUCGAGUAUGGGAGAGGGUAGUGGAAUUUCCGGUGUAGCGGUGAAAUGCGUAGAGAUCGGAAGGAACACAAGUGGCGAAGGCGGCUACCUGGCCUAAUACUGACACUGAGGCACGAAAGCGUGGGGAGCAAACAGG
rnacentral:rRNA from 1 species